CCCCUUGAUGACGAAGAGAGGGUUUCAUACAUCCUCAGCGGUCUCGAUGUUCAUUUCAAUCCAAUCAUGUUAGGUAUUGUUGCAAGAGUUGAACCAAUCACAAUUAAUGAGCUGUAUGCUCAACUGUUAAGUUUUGAGA